UCUGUGACUCACUCCAACACAAACGAUUGC
rnacentral:sRNA from 1 species